rnacentral:rRNA from 1 species
AUUGAACGCUGGCGGCAGGCCUAACACAUGCAAGUCGAGCGAGCGGCGGACGGGUGAGUAAUGUAUGGGGACUGCCCGAUCGAGGGGGAUAACUACUGGAACCGGUGGCUAAUACCGCAUACUGGCGGAUAACCCAUAUGGACUUAGCUAGUAGGUAAGGUAAUGGCUUACCUAGGCGACGAUCCCUGGCUGGGCGGAGAGGAUGGUCAGCCACACUGGGACUGAGACACGGCCCAGACUCCUACGGAGGCAGCAGUGGGGAAUAUUGCACAAUGGGCGCAAGCCUGAUGCAGCCAUGCCGCGUGUAUGAAGAAGGCCCUAGGGUUGUAAAGUACUUUCAGUCGGGAGGCGUUACCGACAGAAGAAGCACCUGCUAACUCCGUGCCAGCCGCGGCGGUAAUUC